GCGCUGAUGAUAAGCGACUGUUGUGCGCAGAUGAUAAGCGAUUGUGCGCUGAUGAUAAAGCUAUUACUGCAAAAAAGGAUAAAGAACUCCAUUGGGAGUAUGAUACGCAGGUCCUAAAACAAACCCUCUCAGGAGGCCUUCUCUGAGCUCGAGAGAAGUACAAAAGGACUGGCUUAGAUUUAUAUAUAACUAAACUAGAAUAUAGGGAAUCUGUUGAGAGUGGUUUCUGUCUUAGGCAGGAAGCUACGCUGACAAGAGACUCAGAAGGUUUGUGCGGAAAUCUAAUGAGCAGGAAAAGUAAUAUCUAACUAAUAGACAAUAGAAUGACUGAAUACAGUUUGAAAGUGUGCACACGACUGUAACCUACUGACAUUACUGAUAAAGUAAUACUAUAAAGGAGAGAUUGAUAAAGGGAAGAGACAUAACUCCCUAUAAAAACCCUGAGUUGAUAAGGGUGAAAUAAAGAGGACAUUUGUAACUGUCACAAGCAGACCAACAAUAAGAAUCUCUCUUUAACAAAGACUUGAGUACAAGCAGUUUAACCAAGCCUCAAAUAAGUUGUUACGGUAGAAGUUUCAUCGUGAUUUUAUUGAGUUGCUCUGGUUACAAAGAGACUCUACAGCAGUACACAAGCUCAAAGCUUCCAAACCUUAUAGUUCAACUUGUCAAUUAGAGUGUAUAAAGUUAGUAACACUAGUGUCGUAGAGGUUGUAUAAUUGUAAAGCUUAAAGUAGUUUUUUAUUUUUCCCCUCUUUGUUAAAAAAUAGUAAUUGAUGGUAGAGGUGAACUGCCGUUUUUCGUUCAUUAACUUUACUUCUGUAUCACUGGGAGCCAAAAAUGUAGUAAAUGUAUUUUGAUUGGCUUGAUUAAUGUGUUCAAAGUGAAAAAAAAAGAAUAUAUAUAUAGAGUUUGUUUCAAUCCAUCUGCAUAUAUCCCGAGCUAUAUUGUGUCCAGAUCCUAUUCUGUCUGCAGAAAAAAAAAAAAAAAAAGAAAAGUUCAAGCUCCGUGUAUACUUGGUGGUGGCAGGUCACCCAGAUGUGUGUGCUCGCUCUCUCCGUACAGAGAGGAGUAGAGUUGUCAUACAUACAGACAUUGAUCAUACAUACUUCCUAAAUAAUCAGAGGAAGAGUGUUGAUGGAAAGGGGUUGUGGAGGUCACAGGAAGGAUUGUUGGUUGCACUUGGUGCAUUGCUGACCAUCUCAGAAUCGCACAGUGAAGAUCACUGUGCGAGGGGGGAAGUACUGAAAAGGUUAAAAAGACAAUACAACAUAAUAAAAGCUAUCCAUUUAUUUAUCAGAAUCAACAGCACAAUAGCCGGACAGAUGUGUCCUGGUUAACAUGCAGUAUUUAUAGAAGAUUUGGUGUAUCAAUUCAAGUUGAACUAAGUCUUGACACGAGUGUUUUGAAGAUACUGUAAACGACAAAUUGGAGAAAAUGGGUAAAAGUCAAAGUGAGUCUGAGCCUGAGCAGCUUGAUGCCAAGGUCUUACCUCCAAUAUUAAAAUAUAUGUGAGACAAAGAUAAUCAGACUACCAAACAAUUGAAAGAAUGGAUAAAAUGGGUUCCCUGAAAAAGGCAGUUUUAGCCUACAAAAAUGUUAUCAACUCAAAACUUGGACACAAAUAAGAAAACAGGGAACAAUAAGACAGAUAAAAUUGAUAAAAAGGGAAAAUAUACUGCCGAACUUUGUUUUGGUUUGUUUUUGUCCUAUCUUGGUUACUUGUAUGUUCCUUUAAGCCAGCAGGUACCAGAGGUGGUGAUCACCCUAAGUGGAGGCUCCGCCUUCCUGGCAACCAGAGCGCUCUCCUAACACACCGAGGAGGAACGAGGACGGCUCGUUCCAGCCACCAUUUGUCGUUGGACAUCUUGUUUAUGUCGAAUAAAACUCUUUGCUUUUGGUAAACUAUCUGCGUCUCCCUGACUAGGUCAUGGCUGUCAGAGCCAGGUCUUGACAUGGUCAAGUGGACCCCAGAGAGGGAACCACCGACGCACACACAUUACAACACAGAGGGGAAUGCUGCUGCUGUCUGUUUCUCUGUCUCCCAAGCAAUAGGAGUUGUUUAAGGGGAAGAUCACACAUGUGUGUCCUUGGCAUGAGGCCUAUGAAUGGAGAGGAUGUCUGACUGGCUGCACAGUCAGACCCAUACUCACUGACCUCAGAAACACAGAGGAUCCUGGUAAACGCUACAGAGAUAAGGGUGACGUAUACAAAACGAGAGGUACAUCAAUGUCAACAGUGAAAGGAGUAACUCAACUUAUGUUUGAUAAGAAAACACACACCAUGGUU